rnacentral:rRNA from 1 species
CGGACGGGUGAGUAAUGUCUGGGAAACUGCCUGAUGGAGGGGGAUAACUACUGGAAACGGUAGCUAAUACCGCAUAACGUCGCAAGACCAAAGAGGGGGACCUUCGGGCCGCUUGCCAUCGGAUGUGCCCAGAUGGGAUUAGCUAGUAGGUGGGGUAACGGCUCACCUAGGCGACGAUCCCUAGCUGGUCUGAGAGGAUGCCAGCCACACUGGAACUGAGACACGGUCCAG